AAUUUGGGAACGAGAUGCCCAGGGAUGCGACCAGCCCAGAGCUCGGAGGCGGCGGCCGGAGUUCCGUCCGCAGAGGGCACACAAAAGCCUCGAGGAUCAUUGCCUCGACCCCCUCCCCCACCGCGCGGCGACGCCCCCUCCGGGCUGGGACACCCCACCCUCGGACUGCUGCCGGGUUUCCCUCCGGCUGCGACCCUGGAGAGUUUGUCGUCUCCCUACCACCCUACCACACACAGCACCCUCAAGACUCCCUGUGAUCCUGGGAUGCAGUCACUGAAGAGUGUGUGACCCGGGAUUUGAUGGAAAUGCUACAAGAGAAGUAGGCUCUCCCCUUCUGAAAUGAUGAGUGAUAAAGACCAUGCAGGUCAACUUUUCCACCACAUGGAGGGAGCCUGUCAAAGAACAAAGGCAACAGAGAAAAGAGCAGAGCUGAGGUUGGGUGAGAGGGAGAAAUUUCUGAGUGCUUGAAUCCCACAUGCCGGAAGCUGCACCACACUUGGGCUUCUCAAUACAGGAACCAGUGAGAAACCUUCAGCCUGAAGACCUGGAAAUCCCAGCAGGCUGCAAACCAGCAGCAACCACCAUGGGUCAGUCCUUUUGAGAUGCUGCUGAUUACCCACUCAUCCGCCAAGUUAGCCAGUGAUAAGCCAUGGAUUCACCACACUCAGAUAAAACCUGUUCCUCUGGCAUCCCUCCAGAAAAAAAAGGCAUGCUCUUGUGAACCCUAAGAUGGCCUUAAGUUAAUAUUCAAUGCCCAGCCAAAGACCCUAAAUCAGAAAUCAUAAACGGAAUAUGUGCUUUUCAGGUACCAAUCACCCUCCAGAUCUAAGAAUGGCUUCAGGCUGGGGCUGUGGUCACCUCUUUACCCAGCUUCUCCCCGGCCCUAUUCUGCUUCACUUGCAUCCUUAAAGGUUUCACCCAAGAGCUCUUCAUCAAGAUAGCACCUAUAAAGCCAGACACACUGAUAUAUGCCUAUAAUCCUAGCACUUUGGGAGGCCAAGGUAGGAGGAUGGCUUGAGCCCAGGAGUUCAAGACCAGCCUGGACAACAUAGUGAGGCCCCAUCUCUACAAAAAAAUAAAAAAUUACCCAGGUGUGGUGCUGCAUGCCUCUAGUCUCAGCUAUUCAGGAGGCUGUGGCAGGAAGAUGGCUUGAGCCCAGGAGGUUGAGGCUGCAGUGAGUUAAGAUCAUGCCACUGCACCCAUCUUGGGCAACAGAGGGAGACCUUGUCUCUAAAAAAAUAAAAACAAUUUACAACAGUAAGCACCUGUACACAAACCCCAUCUCCAGCCCUGUUUCUAGGGCUUCCAAUUUAACACACCUAGAGGCUGGGCAUAGUGGCUCACGCCUGUAAUCCCAACACUUUGGGGGCCAAGGUGAGUGGAUCACUUGAGGUCAGGAGUUUGAGACCAGCCUGGCCAACAUGGCAAAACCCCAUCUCUACUAAAAAUGCAAAAAUUAGCUGGGCGUGGUGGCACACGCCUGUAAUCCCAGCUACUCAGGAGGCUGAGACAGGAGAAUCAGUUGAACCCAGGAGGUGGAGGUUGCAGUGAGCCAAGAUCACACCACUGUACCCCAGCCUGGGCAAUGAAGGAAGAUUCUGUCUCAAAAAAUAAAUAAAUAAAUAAUAUAAAACAUACCUGGAGCUUUCU